GGAUCCUUAGCUCAACGGUCAGAGCAACCGGCUCAUAACCGGCAGGUUCCGGGUUCGAAUCCCGGAGGAUCUA
rnacentral:tRNA from 1 species